GCGGGUAUAGUGCUAAAGGUAACACACGACCUUGCCAAGGUUGAAUUGAGAGUUCGAUUCUCUCUACCCGCUCCA
rnacentral:tRNA from 1 species